UACGUAGGUGACAAGCGUUGUCCGGAUUUACUGGGCGUAAAGAGCGCGCAGGCGGUCGUUCAAGUCGAGUGUGAAAGCCCCGGCUCAACUGGGGAGGGUCAUUCGAUACUGAUCGACUCGAAGGCAGGAGAGGGAAGUGGAAUUCCCGGUGUAGUGGUGAAAUGCGUAGAUAUCGGGAGGAACACCAGUGGCGAAGGCGACUUCCUGGCCUGUUCUGACGCUGAGGCGCGAAAGCUA
rnacentral:rRNA from 1 species